UUCUUGUAAUAAAUUUAAAAUUGAAAUAAAGCACUUUAAGAAUAUAUGAAGAUAAAUGAUACUGAUUAAUGAGACUUCUGUAUAAUUCGACUGGUUAAUAGAAAGCUUCUACUGUAUUGCCUUUUUAUAACAUGGAUAAACAAUUUCCAGAUAUUCAUCCUUUAAAUGCGAGUUCAGAGCUGUAUGCUGUUCAGAGGCAGCCACGCUGGACCUGGCCUAUUGUCCGUAAGAGAACCGAAAUCAUGCAAACUAUCAAGUGUGUAGUAGUUGGAGAUGGAGCUGUGGGAAAGACAUGCCUUCUUAUAUCGUAUACAACGAAUAAGUUUCCAUCAGAGUAUGUUCCUACUGUAUUUGAUAAUUAUGCAGUUACAGUUAUGAUAGGUGGAGAACCCUACACUCUUGGCCUGUUUGACACUGCUGGGCAAGAAGAUUACGAUCGUCUUCGACCAUUAAGCUAUCCUCAAACAGAUGUUUUCCUUGUGUGUUUUUCUGUUGUUUCACCUUCUUCUUUUGAGAAUGUUAAAGAGAAAUGGGUCCCAGAAAUUACUCAUCACUGCCAGAAAACACCUUUUCUGUUAGUUGGAACUCAAAUUGAUUUAAGAGAUGAUGUAGUCACAGUAGAAAAAUUAGCUAAAAAUAAACAGAAGCCUAUAACAUAUGAGCAGGGAGAAAAAUUGGCAAAGGAAUUGAAAGCUGUCAAAUAUGUUGAAUGUUCAGCCUUAACCCAGACUGCAUAGUAGUUUCAUCAAUGAAAAAUUAACGGUGCACUUCUGCUUUGUGUGUGAGAGUAUAUAUCUGAAAACAUUGCGUUCCAUUUCUCCAAUGAGCAUGAAGUGCUACUGCAUGACAACUGGCACAUAUUAGCCCGAUGAGCACAAAAGCAAGAUUGAGAAAGGACUGAAGAACGUUUUCGAUGAAGCAAUUUUAGCAGCUUUAAGUCCACCGAAGAAAAAAAGACGCCCUCACAGGAAUUGCAAUCUGUUAUAACUGAGUUUUAUACAUCAUGGAAAAUUUUUUAAAUUAUAUAACUAAGUACGAUUAAGGAAUAUUAUGCUCGUAAAUAAUCCAUUUACUUUAGCUUGUAAUGUUAGUUUAUAUAUUUUCCUUUAUAUAUAAUAUUGCUAAGUACUAUUUGUAAAAAAGAAAUCAGAUUAUUGCAGGAACACCUUAAAAAACGCAUCAGUGUUAACUCACUCAUAGAAAUAUAUACUUUCGUAUUAGUAGCACCCCAUCCUAUCCUUUGAGAGGGUUUAUGGCCAACUAUGAAUUGUCUCUAUAUGAUGUUGCCAUUCGAAAGAAGAAAAUUAAUUGAAAGUUUUCUAAAAUGGCUGACAGUUCUAUUGCUUCGCUUUUUGAUUUCUUUAGCAACGCAGGCAGUUUAAACGGAUAAACAAAACCUGAGUACAUGAAUUAGCCACUUUAAAAUACAUAAAGACUGCAAAGGUUAAAUGAAUACAUGUAAAAUGAUUAUAUAUGUACAUUUCUGAACGCUUAAAUACAUGAAAUGCUGCAUCCCUUUCAGUAUUGAAUUGUGCCAGGUUGGUGAUUUACCGCCAAAUCGGUAUUUUAAGUACUGACUCUUGGCAAAUAAUCGUUAUAAUUCAAAUAGGUCUCCUGUUUGACAUCAGGAACAGGUCAUUUCUUUUUGGAAUACGUAUUCUUUUGUUGUGCAUCGCCAGAUUUGGACACUUUAUUUUGAAAUAAAAUGUUUAAAUGAAUAAUAAAAUUGAAAUGAAAAUGAAUAAUAAAAUUGAAAUGAAAAUGAAUAAUACAAUUUUUGAAUUAAAAUGUUUAGUCGAAUAUUUGGACAAUUUUAAAAUCAAUUUGUGUACAAAAAUUUUGAUUCGUGGUUUGAGAAUUUUAUAACAAUUUUAAAGAGCAUAAUAUUAAACACAAUAUUGUAAUGUUAUUUAUCUUUAUUUUACUAUUAAAAUUGCUUACUUUUAAAAAAGGAAAGUGAAACAUUUAUAUUUUUCUCUGUCGUAUUUUGAAAUGUUUUUACGUCUAAUUUUAUCGAUUUUUGAAAAUUAUAAUUUUGAAAUUUAAAUUAGGUAAUAAGUGUUAUAAAAGACAAGUUGCGGGGAAAAAAAAACUGAAAAUUGUUAAUGUAGUAAAACUCGUUUUAUUUGUCUAAUUUUCCAAUUUUUAAGAAAAGCAUUUUCCUUCAGAUAUUGUAUUUAUGUGUAAAAUUCAUUUUAUGCUUUUCCUGAAUUUUUAUUUUUUCUAAGAAAUCUUUUUUUACUCUUACAUUUGCCAAGCUUGAUGAUAUUCAGUUUUCCCUCUCGCCUCCUCUGCGACAUUUUAUUUAUUUAUUUAUUUAUUGAAAUCAAAUAUAGCGGGGAAUGGAUUAUGUCAAGAAUUAACAGCAAACAUGAAAAACGGAACGUUAAAUUACAAGAAAAUAAAAAGACAUUAAAUUUGAAAGAAAAAUUUAAUAUUUUCCGCUUGCCGGAAAGGUAUCUCACUAGUUGCGUAACAGAAAAGUACUUUAUUUCAAGCAGUGGCAACACGCAUAGUUUUUAAUAACUGAGUUUAUUGAUUAACUAUGGAAGACGAAGCGUACAGCUGUGAGAGCUGUCAUGAGAUGACACCGGGAUCUAGAUCCAUUGAAAAGGAAUAGCCACAUUCUUGUUUUUAAUAAAAGCUUCUACCGAACGUCCAUAAAAUAAAUCUUCUAAAAUUUGUAUUACAAUGCUUAAUCGUUUUUAGGUUGGGAUUCCUAAGAUUCGGAUGAUAAAAAAAUACGAAAAUCCGAAUUCUCGCAUCUUUCUCGCUUUGUGAAAUCGAAUUUGAAUAUAGCAUCCGUAGUAAAUACAUCGCUGAAAAGAGAAAGUAAUCAAAUUUUGAAAUUUUACUUUGUGUACAAAUGCGAAACGUACUUUGGAUAGUAAAUUUGUCUGAUAAGAUGUUUCCUUUAUUUCAAAUUACUUUAUACUCUGGUUAGUAAUAAUUAACGAGUAUUUGUUAGCUCUUUUCUAAAUAUGUUAUAUUUUUGUAAUAAAUUAUUUUUGCAUUUA